UUCAGAAGUUGGUUUUCUGGCGAGUGAGGAGUUAGUCGUUGUUGAGCUUCGAAGGUGCUGUAGUUCAAAGCUCUGAGCUGUUUUAUCCUGGAGGAGGUGUUGCAAGCAUCCCCAGUGCAGCAGGUGGGGGCAAUAUUCUCUUCAAGAGCAGUCAGGUCUUCGUAUAAGGCCUGACGACUCAGCUGUUCUUGUCAUUUUCGUGUUGUACAUGUCGUUGCCUCAAGCUAUGGCUACUGGUACAAUUUCUUUCCUUCCUCUUGUCUUACAGUCACUGAUAUGCAUGUGUUUUACCUUCGCGUUUUGUUUAAACUUGCUUGGCCUUGGCUUGUUUAAAAUAAUAUAUAACUGCCUCUAUGUUGUUAUAAUAAUCAGUAUUUCCAACAGAAAGUAGUUUUCCUGGCCUCUUUACAUCUUUGGGUUAUUGACUUGUUACACUUUUAUAAUUACCUUUCUUAUGUUGUGGGGGUAUUUGUGAUUUUGAGACUCAUCUUUUUACUUGUUUCUUCUGGUUGCUUGAGCUUAAUAGAAGUAGCCCUCGAAUACAGGAUAUCAUAAAUAGAUUUUGAAGAGGAUGUUGAUGUUUAACUCGAUUGGUUUUUCUAAAAAUGAUUCAGAAUCACAAAAUUGG
rnacentral:lncRNA from 1 species